GUUAAGAUAGCUAAGCUCAGCAAUUGCAUAAAACUUAAAACUUUAUAAUCAGAGGUUCAACUCCUCUUGUUAACA
rnacentral:tRNA from 1 species